UCUGAUAUUACCUCUGUCUCCUGCUCAGGAAGACAGACAAGGGCCAGUUCACUGCUUUAGGAGACUGAGUUUGCACUGGGUUUUCUCUUCCUCCUGUCUUCUGGUCCUGCUCCUUGAAAGGCCCAGGAGAAGCAGCCAUGCUGUGGGCUGUACCUCUGCUUCUGGCUUUCCUGCCUCCUGCAGGCAGUCAAACAUCUUCCAACAUGGAUGAGGGAAUGACAGUAAUGACCAGGUCACGAGGGUCAUAUGUGGAAAUCACUUGCAGUGUGUACACAGGAAGCAGGUACACGCACUGGUACCAGUUCCGAGAGGGGCAGGUCCCACAACGUCUGCUGUAUUAUGACUCCUCCAGAUCGAAAGCUGUGUUGGAUUCGGGAGUGAGCGCAGCCAAAUAUGAUGCUUAUAGUGGCUCAGGAAAGAGCAAUAAAUUCGUGGUACGGAAUGUGGAAGAAAGCGACUCUGCCGUGUAUUACUGUGCCGCCUGGACAAGCCACAGUGCUUCACACCUGCUCAGUGCUGCACUGAAAAGUCUGCUUGUGACUGCACCGGGUGCACAGGACGGACCAGCCCCCAAGUAACUUCCUGCUUUGACAUUCACUAGGGUGUUAUUGAAUUCUGCCUCAUGUUUCAACUGAGUAUUUUUUGCCAAAGAGCACUGCUUUUAUUAAAAUAAAUUUGGAGUAAUUCUAGUAAGUGAUGAGUUUUUUUU